rnacentral:rRNA from 1 species
UGGAGCAUGUGGUUUAAUUCGACGCAACGCGAAGAACCUUACCAAGGCUUGACAUCCUUAGAAUCCUGCAGAGAUGCGGAGUGCCCUUCGGGGAACUAAGAGACAGGUGGUGCAUGGUUGUCGUCAGCUCGUGUCGUGAGAUGUUGGGUUAAGUCCCGCAACGAGCGCAACCCCUAUAUUCAGUUGCCAGCAUGUAAAGAUGGGAACUCUGGAUAGACUGCCGGUGAUAAACCGGAGGAAGUGGGGAUGACGUCAAAUCAUCAUGCCCCUUAUGACCUGGGCUACACACGUGCUACAAUGGUUGGUACAACGAGUUGCGAGUCGGUGACGGCGAGCUAAUCUCUUAAAGCCAAUCUCAGUUCGGAUUGUAGGCUGCAACUCGCCUACAUGAAGUCGGAAUCGCUAGUAAUCGCGGAUCAGCACGCCGCGGUGAAUACGUUCCCGGGCCUU